UGACCUCAGAUCAGGUAGGGAUACCCGCUGAACUUAAGCAUAUCAAUAAGCGGAGGA
rnacentral:rRNA from 8 species